UGUGUGAAUAUUAAAAAGAUCAAUAAGAUCGACUACAUGUAGUGACAUCUGCACCUUAUAAGCCGUGGCUUAUUGCAGGACUUAAUUAAAUUCGUUCACGUCCUAACAUUUUAGGACACUAUUCGGAAAUGUCAGGCAGUUAAGUGAUAUCUUAUUGACUCAAGUGUCAUUUUAAGGAGUCGGUCCUAUCGGGCAGUCUGGAGAAGACGCGACUUGCAUGACAGUUUCUGCGCCGCAGUCUCCACUGUCACGUGUUGGCGCGCUCCCUGUGCCGUUGUCAUGGAGACCUUGUCAGUAGUAGAAACUGCAAGACUCGGUUCAUUCAUCAUUUCACAGUGUCUGCGAAAGACGCCGGUUGGACGUGAACCUGAUUCAUACUUGAUGCUGUACGUCUCUUUUAUUCCAGAGGUGAAGACUGUGCUUCCGAGCCUCGAGUACUGGAUCGCAGCUGCCAAGGACAAUUCAGAUCGGUUUUCGGAUCAUCUAGCAAAGAUACAAGCAAGCUGCAGUAGAGUGCGGUUACGAUGGUCCAGUAUCGGCCACCCCCACAGCAGCCGACAGAGAGCCCAGAAUCACCAUCACGAUCAUUGACCAGUCAGAACUCACGAGUCAGGAUGUUUGGAAAGCAGAGCCACAAAACAGAAAGAAAGCAGAAUACCAGGUUUCAACAGAAGGGGGCACUAGAGAAGCCAGAGGACGAGGGAGGAGGAGUGUCAACAGGCCCAAGAAAGACAGUCUAGACAGAGAGAUGUUGUGGAAGCAGCACCAUCAUUGGGAUUCCCCAGGAGCACCGUAGUCUCAGUAAUUCUGAAAUGGAGGACGCUUGUGACCACCAGAAUUCUUCCUAGAGUUGGUUAUCUGGUCAACCUGAGUAGCCGGGCAAAAAGGGGCAUUGGUCAGAGAGGUGACCAAUGGUCACGCCAACAGAGCUUCAGAGGUCCCCUGCUGAGAUGGGAGGACCUGUUGGAAUGACAACCAUCUCAGCAGCCCUCAAUCAGUAUAUGGCAGAGCGGCCAGACUCAAGCCACUCUUGAGUAAAAGGCAUGUUACAAAAACAGAACCUGCUCAAUUUUCCUCACCUCCCAC